AGGACCAAGUCUUCUGCAGACGCAUUGCUUUUUGCCAAAGCAAAUUCUCCCUUGGAAUACCCCAUUCAAGGUGUUGAAGUGAGACCUCUGAAAACCAUCUUAAUACCAGGUUUGAAGCUGCAAGCUGAACCUCAGCAACGUUUUGAGGUCAAACUGAC